GCCUUCAUAGCUCAGCGGUAGAGCGCGACACUAGUAAUGUCGAGGUCUUGAGUUCGACUCUCAAUGGAGGCA
rnacentral:tRNA from 3 species